AUUCCAUGCAUCAGACAUUUCCGAAAUAAUUCUUUAACUCGUUCCCAAGCUUCAUAUAGCAUUUCAUCCUCCAAUUGCCGAAAAAAUGUGACGUCAUUUCUAAGCUU
rnacentral:snoRNA from 1 species